rnacentral:lncRNA from 1 species
CGAACAGAUCAUAAAUUCAAGUAAUAAAAAGUGGGUUUCAAUUAUCUCACAAUAGGAUAUACAUGGUUUACAACAAUACAAAAAAGAGGAAAGUCAAAGUCUUCAAGGAAAUGUGGUUUUGAAAUGAGAAUAUUAUACAAUAAAAGUAAUAUGAUUUAUCAACUUGUAAUUUAAAACUGAAACAAGUUAUAUUGUUGUGUCGUAC